CUCUGUGAAGCAGCACUAAAAGAUGGCUGGACCAGGUUUAAAGCAACAAGUUGGGGAAAAUCAUCCAGAUGACAUACGAAGAUGCCACCUCGUCAGGGACAUGAUUGGACUAGAGGACACUUUGUUAUUGCAGGCCAGAGCAGAGGGUCAUUUCCAGCAGCGAGCACUGUCUGCUGCCUUCUACCCGUGGUACAGAGAGAGGCUGGCGAUGGCACCAGCAGAGACGGAUCCUGCACACAAGAGCAGUGCGUUUUCACAGAGGGACAUUAGAGAAGCAAGUAUUUGCUCUCUGGAGGCAGCAGAUGUCUCAGCAUCGAGAAAACUGCUUGGCAGAGAGAAUGGUGUGUGGUCUUCUUUGAGUGAGUUCCUGGGGGGAGGAUCCAUUUUAUGCACUUGCCCUGGGGUGCUCCUCAGAAAGUUAUACAACCCUGGUCCACCCUGCCAGGUGCAGGAGCCUGGGAAAAUCCAGACAUUGAUGUCUGAUGUCAGCUCAGUUCACAGACAGCUGCUGGGGGAGGAUCUCUUUUGCUGGUCACAGAUUCUCCUCCAGCCUCUGAACUGGUCUCCUUCUGGAUUGUUCUGUUUCCUCCCACCCUGCCUCAGGCUAUACUGCAGGCAGAGCAGCAGCUUUUGCGUAGGUUCUGGUUCGUGUGGCACCAGCAGGCAGCAGUGUGUCAUCUGGAGUGACAGCAGCAAGCCAUGGCCAUUGCCCACCACCACAGGGGACUGCUCAGGAGGGCUUUCUGCAUCUGGAGGGAAAGCACCCGAGGAUUUAGGAUAGAGUGAGUGGCAUUUCUACUCCAGAGCUGCUUCCCCCGCAGCCAGCUUUGGCAGAAGCUCCAAGUGCCCACCCAUAGUGGGGUGUCAGGUUGGGUGGGUUGUAUGUCCUGGAAAUUCAGCUUGAAUCAAGGGACAGGACCUUGGAAUCUGUCAUUGGACUCAGAUGCUCUGAAAUUCAGCUCCACCUUGCUUCCUGCCUGGGACCCUCGUAGCUAGUGGCAGGGUAUAAACGGAUGAGCCCAUUAUCAGGUGGCUGGACACUUACUAGUGGGCAGGCUAUGACAGUGUUUACCAGACCACAGGGCUACAAUGAAGAGUGCAUGCAGCCCAUGUGUCUGGUGCAGAGAUGUUGAAGCCCCACGAGGUUUCCUGAAACUUUCCUGAAUCUCUGUGUUCCUACUUGGGAGAGGCCCAGAUCAUCAGACAGCUCUUCAGAGAAUCCUUCACUCCCAGAGCUCAGUAGUUCUAAAGCCCCUUGUGGUCUGGCCCCUGCUGAGCUUCUCCUGUUUCUCCACAGGAGGAUGGGCAGGGCACAGGCUGCGCACUUCCACGCUGCAUGGCUCCUGCAUCGGGCCUGGAGCAUGUGGAGGGAGGUAAGGCUUUGGCACGGGCACAGCCUGAGUGUGGCGUUUGGACAGGUGGGGCUGUUUGUCCUCAUGACUCAGACAGACAGAUGGGUUCCUCCAUAUGCCUCUGGUCAAGGGCAACUGUGAGGCAGUGAUAACUUACGUAUGUGUGGGGCUGUUAUUAGCUGAACUUACUGAGUGUAAAGUUCCUGUCUGGCCGCUCACAGAAACUCUACUAAGGGUGUAACAUGGAAGCCAGUACCUGUCCAGCACUUCCUGUCCGGCACUUGCUCAUUUGACACCCACCAACCUCUAGGAGGUUUAUAUUUAUAGAUAAGAUUGAGGCUCAAUUGGAGUAUUCUCCUUCUGGGAGCUCACAGAAUGAAAACUCUGAGACAUUGCUGCCGUGAGCCCCUCCUGGCCCUCGGCCCACAG
ensembl:lncRNA